rnacentral:rRNA from 1 species
AGAUUGAACGCUAGCGGGAUGCUUUACACAUGCAAGUCGAACGGCAGCGCGGACUUCGGUCUGGCGGCGAGUGGCGAACGGGUGAGUAAUAUAUCGGAACGUGCCCAGUAGCGGGGGAUAACUACGCGAAAGCGUGGCUAAUACCGCAUACGCCCUACGGGGGAAAGGGGGGAUUCUUCGGAACCUCUCACUAUUGGAGCGGCCGAUAUCAGAUUAGCUAGUUGGUGAGGUAAAGGCUCACCAAGGCGACGAUCUGUAGCUGGUUUGAGAGGACGACCAGCCACACUGGGACUGAGACACGGCCCAGACUCCUACGGGAGGCAGCAGUGGGGAAUUUGGACAAUGGGGGAAACCUGAUCCAGCCAUCCCGCGUGUGCGAUGAAGGCCUU